UUCUGGAGUGAGAACUCCGAGUUCCUCUUCCCUGUCUCUCUUGGUCUGGAGGAGAAUGAAAGAAGCUGGAGGCAACUUAGAGGAAGGACUUGUGGCAGAAGUGCGGGGAUUUCACACUCAGAUGAGGCCUUAAGGGUCGGCAGUGGUACAGAAACAGGAAGGAGCAGAUGCUGGAAAAAAAUUCAUUUGAAAAUUAUCUCGAAGAGGAAGAGAACGUGUAGAAGGGACUACAGAAUAAAUUUACCACAUUUGAUUAGGAGUCCUGUGUGUUAAGUGGCCAGCAGCUCCACCAAGCAUUAUGGCAGGAUUUGAACCUUCAUCUGCUGCAGCCUUGGACAGAAGGUUUUGGGAGAGAGGCACACAGUGCACAGUUCCUGGGGACCGCUUAUGUGCCAUCGUGAUGUCAGCAACUCCAGAGUCUUAUUUGGAUAUAGCCUAAAACAAACUUCCCUGUUGCUUCAGAGAUAUUGUGGGACCACUUGGAGGUGUGAGACAUGAAGUCCUGGCCAGAGUCCAAGUUUAGUGUAGUUCCAGCCUGUUUCCCAGAGAAUCUGCUCUGUGUGUUCAGGAGGACAUGCUCUCAUCUGUUCUGCGUGUCUGCUGUGGGCUGUUGAAGCAGCUGACACGCAUCACCCCAGAGGAGCUGCAUGCUAUAAUUGAUCUACCAUCUCUCCAGCCUUUGGUGAUGCCUGACAGCAAGCCACAGAGGUGCAUGCUUAUAGCAGAUACCUGCUAACUUCUGGCAAGAAAAGGAGCUGGAGGCUUGGAGUUACCACUUAGUAUCAGAGCUAUCGACUGUAAUUCUCUGCCUUU